UCCUACGGGAGGCAGCAGUGAGGAAUAUUGGUCAAUGGGCGUAAGCCUGAACCAGCCAAGUAGCGUGCAGGAUGACGGCCCUACGGGUUGUAAACUGCUUUUGCCGGGGAAUAAAGUUCGGGACGCGUCCCGUUUUGUAUGUACCCGGAGAAUAAGGACCGGCUAAUUCCGUGCCAGCAGCCGCGGUAAUACGGAAGGUCCGGGCGUUAUCCGGAUUUAUUGGGUUUAAAGGGAGCGCAGGCCGGAGAUUAAGCGUGACGUGAAAUGCCGCGGCUCAACCGUGGAAGUGCGUCGCGAACUGGUCUCCUUGAGUGGGUGCGACGUGUGCGGAAUUCGUGGUGUAGCGGUGAAAUGCUUAGAUAUCACGAAGAACCCCGAUUGCGAAGGCAGCGCACGAGUCCCUUACUGACGCUAAAGCUCGAAGGUGCGGGUGUCGAACAGGAUUAGUACCCUGGUAGUCC
rnacentral:rRNA from 1 species